AAGAAAAUGGAUCCGAGACACUCUGAGAGUCUUCACAACUUUGCUCACAGAUUUAUCAACAAUUAAUUUGAUGACGUUGCAAGACUGGUGGAGUUAAACCAGAAGGACAAAAAAUAACAAAAUAAAUAAAGGAUACACAUUUUUCCAUGAGGAAUUUGUCCAUCAGUAUCAAUGCCGGGAUUUCUGUUUUACCCAUGUGCCGGCUCCAGGUUUCAUGCCAUACUCCAUUCCUCCUGUGUAAUUGACACACCUGCAACCCAUCCCCUCAUCAGCACCACAGUAUUUCAACCCCGGUUUUCCUGUCACUCAUCGCCAGUUCAACGCUUCGUCGAGAAGACCACAUCCUCCGGUUCAUCAGCCUGCCUGCCAC